GCCUUCCUUGUCUUGGGGAGCAGAAUGUCCAGUGAACGUAUAGUGAGGGCAUUGCUGCUGACAAUAAACCCAUUACUCGAGAGUCCUUCUCGUAAACCCCCCGGCCGGUGGAUCGCUUUCGAACAGCUGAUCCGGCUGGUCGGAAUUUUUGAAGCG
rnacentral:ncRNA from 1 species